rnacentral:tRNA from 1 species
AAUCAAUGAACUUGAACAAGUUUAUAUUUUGAAAAUAUAAGAAAGAAGAAAAUCUUCUAUUGAUUU